ensembl:snRNA U1 U1 spliceosomal RNA
ACACUCACGCAGCUAAGUGAGCACCCUCAACACGUCUUUGUUUUUUUCAGGCGAGGGUGACCGAAUUGCACUAGUGUUGUGCUGGCCCCUGUGAUUUCCCCAAAUUCGGGAAACUCCACUGCAUAAUUUUUAUUAAUUUGCCACCGCGUUUGUGGUCUCGGC